CUGGAAGACAGAGUUAGAUGGCAGUGCAAGCUGUGCGGAAAGUCCUUAAUGAGGACGACUUUCUCAAAGCUGAUGAUGUAAUAGUUCUGAAGGAGCAUUUUGUGGGAGUCAGGGUCCCAUCUACCUCUGUCUGGGCACACAGAGCUCCUGGCCUUGCAUCCUGCCUGAGAGGUGACCUGGAUUAUUGGCUUCCCUGGUCCACACAGGGUCCUGGAUUGCUUGGUUGCCCCUCAUUCCUGGUCUACCCUGUGCCCCAUGGUGUUUGCAGCUUCUAUGGGCUGAAUUUAAUCAGUGAUUCACUGGAGCUGGAUCUGAACCCAAACCACAGGGAAGCCCUGGGCACUGAGGACAAUAAGAGCAACAGACAACCUCUCCUCCACUGCUUCUCUCUCUUCUCCACAAGGCAAGGCAGCUCUCACACAGGAGGCAUCCAGCCUAACUCCCAGCAGGGAGAGUGUGAGAUGUCUGUGGAUGAGCCCACAUUACAGUACGAUUCUGUGGGAAGACAUCUGGUAGCUUCUGGUGCAGCUGCAGCAGUCAGGACACAUGAACUACAGUGGAGGUUGAAGAGGCAGAGAACAACCGCAGAGGUGCCCAGUAUGUCCUCAGCCUGGACAACAAGUGUCUGCUCAAUCAUACAGACAGCUCAGGACUCUCUCACCCAGCGAAACCUGAGACUGCACACUGGUGGACCAGCUGGUUCCUCAAGAGGUUAGCUCUCUCAAUGGCAUGAAGUUCAGGUGCUACCUCUUCCUAUACUGGCCUGGUGAAGACAGAACCCUGGAGGACAUUGUGGUCUG
ensembl:lncRNA